AGCAAUAGCAAUCGCACUUAGAAUUAAAUACUGCUUCAUGGUACUUUUAUAGACCUCUCUAAACAGUUUUACAGAAUCAGCAUAUUGCCCCCAACAAUCUGGUCCUCAUUUUACCAACCUAGGAAGGAUGGAAGCUGAGUCAACUUUGAGCCUGGUGGGAUUC